UCAUGGAAGACUCCACUAAAUUCUGGAGGUGAUCCGGAUCUGGUUUGGCAGACGUCAGAAAUCUCUGAUUGCUCUUGUUAAUUGUGAUUUUGAAAUAUAGAGCAAGCAUUAUUAUAAUUGGCUCUCAGUAGAUUAAAUAUAACGAUCAGAACCAGCCAGAA